UGCACAUAAGGCGUCCUAGGGACAGGGGUUUUGGUCAAUGGGACCUUUUCUUCCCCAACACAUCAUAUCUUGGAGUCUUCUGUGCUUCAGCUCCUGGAUCAGAGCAGAAAGAGUAAUUGAGAAGUAACAGGUAGAAGAAACAAUUGAUGAUAAUGUGAUAAGAUGCUGGCCAGUAGAACACUGUCAUUUUAACCCUCUUUCUCAGUUGGUCCUCGCAAAGUAGAAAACUGAUACACUUUUACGAUUAUCAUAGAGACCACAUGAUAAAGAAUUAGAAGUCAGUGGUUUUUAACCAAAAAUUUGUGAUUUUAUUUUUUUGAAUGAUUUUAUAAUGGAGUAGAGUAGUACAUGAAAGAACAUGCAAGUUAAUCCAAUAUGUUUUACAGUGGCUAGAAAAAAAUAAAAACAUGAAUGAAAUUAAUCAAUAUUUAGAUUACCCAAAUUCAAAGGGGAAAAUGAAAAUGACAGACAACCCCCACUGAAGAAAGUUUAUAUGAGCUAAAGAAGAUACUUUUUAGUACUGUACAACAUAAAGUCUGGCAGGGUAAUCAAAACAAAUGCAAUGUGAAAGGGAUUUGUAGAUGCAGACAAAUCUAUUCUUUCUCGGCUGUUCCCAGUCACAGGUAAGAUCAAUCUUCCCUUGGCACAAAGGGCUUCAGGGCAGAUCCCUCCACUCAGUUAUUGUGUUGCAAUGACCAAAUAAUAGAGAGCCUGCCCUAGGCUUCAACAUUGACAUCCUAAUGGGAAUUUCCCCUGCCCUCUUCAUUUAAUCACUAUGACAAACAUAUAGCACAAUUGCUAUAUUUGAAGACUUCCCAUGUCUGCUUCACUGUAGAGUUGAGAAGUAAACCAACAUUCAGCAAAAACACAUGGUUUGAAUUAUAUUUGCUCCCCAGGUAUAUUUUCAUUCUGUGACUGUCAUUAAUAUUCAUUGGGGCUAAUUUACUAAAGGGCAAAGUGGGCUUUUUAGGUAAUAUUUGCCAAAAUGAAAUUAACACAGACAUUGCCAAUUUACUAAAAGGCUCAGCUUCCAUUACCCUUUUUGCCAGAGUUUGUUUCAACAGGUUCUGCCUGGCAGAUUGAUAAGAUGAAGCUAUACCCUCGUCAUUAUUAUGUCAGUGACAUCCUAUCCUGUAUGCCAAAAAUGGCGUUUUUUCAUAUUCUAACGCUAUGCCUGCCAAGCACAUAUUCUAUAUGUGCUGGCAGGCAAAGGCUCUAAAUGCCAAAAAUGUAUGUAAUACAUUCUUUGGCAUUUUAGGUGAUUACUCUG